UCUGCUCUUCUUGGCGGGGACCAGCUGUGCGGCUCCUCUUGUUAUAUACAGGGAAGGGCUCUAGCCCCUUGUGGUCAUGUCAUUGAUGUUGGGAGCUUUCUAUCCACAGAUUUUCUUUUCAAGCAGUAAGACACAU